rnacentral:rRNA from 1 species
AUUGAACGCUGGCGGCAUGCCUUACACAUGCAAGUCGAACGGCAGCACGGGGGCAACCCUGGUGGCGAGUGGCGAACGGGUGAGUACAUCAUCGGAACGUGUCCUCUUGUGGGGGAUAACCAGUCGAAAGGCUGGCUAAUACCGCAUGAGCCUGAGAGGGGAAAGCGGGGGAUUCGAAAGAACCUCGCGCGAGAGGAGCGGCCGAUGUCCGAUUAGCUAGUUGGUGGGGUAAAAGCCCACCAAGGCGACGAUCGGUAGCUGGUCUGAGAGGAUGAUCAGCCACACUGGGACUGAGACACGGCCCAGACUCCUACGGGAGGCAGCAGUGGGGAAUUUUGGACAAUGGGGGCAACCCUGAUCCAGCCAUGCCGCGUGUGUGAAGAAGGCCUUCGGGUUGUAA